CGUCUGUGUUUGCAUGGGCAUCCAUUGAGAGGUCUGUUUGCUGCUUGUGGUUAAUGGGGCCAAACAGCAGCAGGUGAAGGCACUCUGCGUGGUUCCUCACUGCCUCCAGAUCCCUUUGGCUGAGAGAGAAUUGAUUCCAGCCCAGGUAAACCUGCCAGACAAAUAGCAGAAGGUGAAGUGCAGCGGAAGCAUCGCGUCUUGGAUCCCAGCACAGGGCUGGAGCCUGCUGACAUCCUGAGCAGCGCAUCCCUUUCCCUGUGCUCACCCAGAGAAUGCAGGAAAAUAAAAUCAGCGUGGAGUGUGCUGAAGAAAAAUAUCCAGUGGAGGGCACUCAGUGUAUCACAAACUAGAACAUUAGCACCAACAAGCUCCAAAGCAUCAUCACUCUCUGGAAAGCCUUCUGAAUUAGACAGGAGCUGCCUCUCAGCACAGCUACAAAACACUUUAAACCUGACCAGCUAAAUGGAUAAAGCUAUCCUGCACAGCCUUUAACUGGGGGGUUACACGGCACGGGAGGCCUGCCUGCUUCGGGAGCUGGGAGCUGGAGAUGGAUUGCUGUGUCUGGGAAUGGCAAAAGGCAGCAGAAUGAGAGAUGCUAGGUACCGGCAAAGGUUUUUUUUUUUUUUUUUUUUUCCUUUUUUUUUUUUUUUUCGUUUUCCCCAA
rnacentral:lncRNA from 1 species